GAAAAUUCUACAAUGGCAUGCUGUCACAAUUUGACUUUCAAGGCAGAAAUUGCAUAAUGCAGAACUGUACCAUAUUGGAAGCAGCCUUUGAAGAGGACAAAUGAAGCUGAUAAGCACUGGUGAUUCCAGAGAGCUCAUUCAGAAGUCUUUUUGCACUGCCUCUGCCAGCCUCCAGGACUGUGCACAUGAGUGACAGCCUCUAUCUAGUGUUUGAGUAUAUGAACCUUUAAUCCAUCAAGAUGCUUCUAAAACUGAGAGAGUACCUCCACCGUGUGCAUAUACCUUCCUGCACAAACCCAUCAUCUUGGGACCCACAGAAAUGCCACCACAUUUGAAGCCAGCCGAAUAUAUUUUCCUAAUCUCAUCCAGACUUUAUGGCUAUAAUUUGGCUGCUGCCACAAUUUUAAAUUAGCUUUUGCUUCAAUGAAAGAAGGUAAACCAUG